rnacentral:lncRNA from 1 species
CUCUCCCAGUAUUCCAAGUAUGGCUCCCAGUGUUCCCAGUAUGGACCAGUAUGACCCAGUUUGGCUCCCAGUGCUCCCAGUAUGAACCAGUGACAGCUCCCAGUGCUCCCAGUAUGGGGUUGGCAUUCCCAGUGCUCCCAGUAUGGACCAGUGACCGCUCCCAGUGCUCCCAGUAUGAACCAGUAACAGCUCCCAGUAUGGCCCAGUAUGGCCCAAAGCCUCUCCCAGUACAAACCAGUGCUCCCAGUAUGGGGUUGGCAUUCCCAGUACUCCCAGUAUGGCCCAGUAACUCCUCCCAGUAUGGCCCAGUAUGGCUCCCAGUACUCCCAGUAUGGCUCAGUAACUCCUCCCAGUACUCCCAGUCUGGCUCCCAGUGCUCCCA